rnacentral:rRNA from 1 species
UACGUAGGUGGCAAGCGUUGUCCGGAUUUACUGGGCGUAAAGAGCGCGCAGGCGGUCGUUCAAGUCGCGUGUGAAAGCCCCGGCUCAACUGGGAGGGUCACGCGAUACUGAUCGACUCGAAGGCAGGAGAGGGUAGUGGAAUUCCCGGUGUAGUGGUGAAAUGCGUAGAUAUCGGGAGGAACACCAGUGGCGAAGGCGACUACCUGGCCUGUUCUUGACGCUGAGGCGCGAAAGCUAGGGAGCAAACGG